GAGAGAGAGAGAGAGAGAGAGAGAGUUGAGCUAGAAUAAUAUCAGUAGCAAAUAGGCUCCGUUGCCACCCAUUUGUUUUCGAUGAUGGAGCCUGCAAAUUGACGAUCGACACCGUUGAAAAUAAUCUAUAUCACUUGAAGUAUUUACAAAUCAAAUUUCAUGCUUUGCGGAUUUUGUUCUCUUGUCCAUUAAGUGGGCGUAAAAAUGAACGGCUGAAAAUAAAUAUUCUCUAAAAAGUGAUGAUAGGAAUUUUGUAAUCAAGAUCGAGAGUAUAGAUCUUGUUCUAAAUAGUUUAAAAAAUUUUGUAACCAAAAUUCAAUUGAUUUGAAUAGCUUUAUACCGUUAAACGAGAAAAUGCCUUAUAUCUACCCUUAAAAUUACAAAUUUUAAAACUCUUUGAUUAUUAGAUCAAUGAUGUCAAAAAUUUGGGUUCUAAAUACUUCGAGUAGUAUAAAUCAUGUUCAACGAUACCGAUCGUUGAUUUAAAAACUCUAUCAUCGAAAAUAUAUGGGUGACAAUGGAGCCCGUUUGUUACUGAUAAUUAACAUUCCAGUUUAACUCUAUAUACAUAUAUAUA
rnacentral:lncRNA from 1 species